rnacentral:rRNA from 1 species
UACAGAGGCCUCGAGCGUUAGGCGGAAUCACUGGGCUUAAAGCGUGUGUAGGCGGGUGCCUAAGUACCUUGUGAAAUCCCACGGCUCAACCGUGGAACUGCUGGGUAUACUGGGUGCCUUGGGUCAUCUAGGGGCUGCCGGAACAAAUGGUGGAGCGGUGAAAUGCGUAGAUAUCAUUUGGAACGCCAACGGCGAAAGCAGGCAGCUGGGGAUGCACCGACGCUGAGACACGAAAGCCAGGGGAGCGAACGGG